rnacentral:rRNA from 1 species
UACAGAGGGUGCGAGCGUUGUCCGGAAUCACUGGGCGUAAAGGGCGCGUAGGCGGCUCAGUAAGGUUGCGGUGAAAGCCCGGGGCUCAACCCCGGGUCGGCCGUGGCAACUGCUGGGCUGGAGCACUGUAGAGGCAGGUGGAAUUCCGGGUGUAGCGGUGGAAUGCGUAGAGAUCCGGAAGAACACCGGUGGCGAAGGCGGCCUGCUGGGCAGUAGCUGACGCUGAGGCGCGACAGCGUGGGGAGCAAACGAGG